rnacentral:rRNA from 1 species
AUACGGAGGGGACAAGCGUUAUUCGGAAUCACUGGGCGUAAAGGACGCGUAGGCGGGUUAUUAAGUCGGGUGUGAAAUCCUACAGCUCAGCUGUAGAACUGCAUUCGAAACUGAUAACCUAGAGUAUGGAAGGGGCAGGUGGAAUUAGUGGUGUAGGGGUAAAAUCCGUAGAUAUCACUAGGAAUACCGAAAGCGAAGGCGACCUGCUGGGACAUUACUGACGCUGAGGCGUGAAAGCGUGGGGAGCAAACAGGAUUAGAAACCCUAGUAGUCC